rnacentral:rRNA from 1 species
UGAGGAAUAUUGGACAAUGGAGGAAACUCUGAUCCAGCCAUGCCGCGUGAGUGAUGAAGGCCUUAGGGUUGUAAAGCUCUUUCGGUGGGGAAAAUAAUGAUGGUACCCACAUAAGAAGCUCCGGCUAACUCCGUGCCAGCAGCCGCGGUAAUACGGAGGGAGCUAGCGUUAUUCGGAAUUACUGGGCGUAAAGCGCAUGUAGGUGGCCUGAAAAGCCAGAGGUGAAAUCCCGGAGCUUAACUCCGGAACUGCCUUUGGAACUCUCAGGCUUGCAUCUGUCAGAGGAUAGUGGAAUUCCUAGUGUAGAGGUGAAAUUCGUAGAUAUUAGGAGGAACACCAGUGGCGAAGGCGACUAUCUGGGACAGUAUGGACACUGAGAUGCGAAAGCGUGGGGAGCAAA